UUCAAGGUCUGCUGAGUUUCCCUUUGUAAU
rnacentral:piRNA from 1 species